UUAGGAUUAAAUCAUUUUUAUUGACAUUGAGUUGUGUUUGUUGGAGAUGGCUAAGCUUACUUUAAUGCAUAUUUUUGUUCUUUUCCUUUUGCUUGCAGGUUAAUUCUAGAUAGUGUAACAAUAUCUGCUUUCUUGAUAUUUAUCUAUGUAUGAUUUGCAAAACAUAUCACAGUUUAAUCACCAAUGCUAUUUGUAUAAUUGGUGGGACACUUUGGUUUUUAUAUCACAUAAUAAGAGUACAUUGUUUUAUAAAAUGAAAAAUCAUGUGACUUAUUAAAUUAAAGUUUGAUGAGAUUUAGCAUGCCUAAAAUUAUAAUUCUUGCCUAUAGUAACUUUGUUUUUGAAAUUUCAGGUAUUUUCAUCACAAGUGAAGCAAAUGCCGGUAGUACGAGGCCACCUAGAAGAAAGAUAGUAAAGUUUACUACAGGUGGUUGCAAUCCUACAAUAUGUAAACGUGAAUGUCAAAUGUAUGGUAGGACUCGUGCUAAUGUAGACGGAUAUUGCGAUAAUGACAAUUGCAUGUGUACUUAUGAUGUCUGAUAUGUUUGUACCCUUCUUAAAUGAAGAAUGAAUAAAAACUGAUUAUGU
rnacentral:lncRNA from 1 species